rnacentral:rRNA from 1 species
CCUACGGGGAGGCUGCAGUGGGGAAUAUUGGACAAUGGGCGAAAGCCUGAUCCAGCCAUGCCGCGUGUGUGAAGAAGGCCUUCGGGUUGUAAAGCACUUUCAGUGGGGAAGAAAGCCUUGGGGCUAAUACCCUCGAGGAAGGACAUCACCCACAGAAGAAGCACCGGCUAACUCCGUGCCAGCAGCCGCGGUAAUACGGAGGGUGCGAGCGUUAAUCGGAAUUACUGGGCGUAAAGCGCGCGUAGGCGGUCUGAUAAGCCGGUUGUGAAAGCCCCGGGCUCAACCUGGGAACGGCAUCCGGAACUGUCAGGCUAGAGUGCAGGAGAGGAAGGUAGAAUUCCCGGUGUAGCGGUGAAAUGCGUAGAGAUCGGGAGGAAUACCAGUGGCGAAGGCGGCCUUCUGGACUGACACUGACGCUGAGGUGCGAAAGCGUGGGUAGCAAACAGGAUUAGAUACCCCGGUAGUC